ACUAUGCCACUCUUCCCCAAAACUAUGACAACUCUUGUUCCUCUACUAUUUCUCUUUGUGAGCCCUACUUCUGGGGAACAAUAA